UGAUUUAAUAUAGAAUUUAUUUAUUAAUUUGUAUUGUUUUAUUUAUAAUUUAUUAAAAAUAAUUAUAUAAUUUAAUGUUCUAGUAAUUUUUAAUGAAAAAAUAAUAUUUAUUAUAGUUUAGUAGUAUUGUUAAAGAAUAUUGAAAUAUUUUGAAAAAUUUUUAUAAUAAAAGAAAAUUUUAUUUAUUGUACCUUGUGUAUCAGGGUUUAUUAAAUAAUUAAUAAAUAUUUAUUAAUCUCGAUUUUAUAAGAGUUAAUAAUUUAUAAAAGUUAAUGUAUUAAAAUUAUUUUUAAUAAAUUAUUAGAAAUGAAAUGUUAUUCGUUUAUAAAGGUAUCUAGUUUUUUCAGAAAUAAGUUUAAUUUACGAAUUUUUAAUUUUUUAUUUAAUUUUUAAAUUAAAAAAUUUAUUAAUUUGAAUAUUUUAAGGGAUAAGCUUUAAAAUAAAUUAUUAAAAAUUAAUAAUACUAAUAUAAAAUGUAUGCCUAGAAUUAGCAAUCAUUUUUGAUUUUGUUAUAAAUUAUUUUAUAAAUUAUAUUAUUUUUAAAAUUUUAAUUUUAUAUGAAAUAAUUUCUGUUAAUAUUAUUACAGGAGGCUAUAAUGAUAAAAUUAGUAUAUAUUUAUUGUUUAUAUAUUUUAUAUAUGAUAAGUUUAUAUAAAGAAUUCGGCAAAUUUUAUACUCGCCUGUUUAACAAAAACAUGUCUUUUUGAGUUAUUUUAAAAGUCUAACCUGCCCACUGAUAAUUAUAAUUAAAUGGCCGCAGUAUUCUAACUGUGCAAAGGUAGCAUAAUCAUUAGUCUUUUAAUUGAAGGCUGGAAUGAAUGGUUGGACGAAGUAUAAGCUGUUUCAUAUAAAAUUAUAAUAGAAUUUUAUAUUAUAGUUAAUAAGCUAAAAUAUUAUUAAAAGACGAGAAGACCCUAUAAAUCUUUAUAUUUUAAGUUAAUUAAAUUUUAUAGAUUUAUUUAAUUUUUAUAUCUUAGAAUAUUUUGUUGGGGUGAUAUUAAAAUUUAAGAAACUUUUAAUUUGUUUAGUUCAUUAAUUUAUGAUUUAUUGAUCCAUUAUUAUUGAUUAUAAGAUUAAGUUACUUUAGGGAUAACAGCGUAAUUUUUUUAGAGAGUUCAUAUCGAUGAAAAAGUUUGCGACCUCGAUGUUGGAUUAAGAAAAAUUUUAGGUGUAGCCGCUUAAAAAUUAAGUCUGUUCGAC
rnacentral:rRNA from 1 species